GAUCCUGGAAUCAGGACGAACGCUGGCGGCGUGCUUAACACAUGCAAGUCGAGCGGGGAGGCUUUUCGGCACCGACCGUUGGGACGCAGCCCAAAGCGCGGGAGCGCGGAGGGGGCGCAAGGCAGAGCCCGGGGAGGGCGAAGCGGAGCGAGGGGGCGGACCAAGGGCGGGUGCUGGGAAGGCUUCCAGCGGCGGACGGGUGAGUAACGCGUGAACAAUCUGUCCCAGACAGGGGGAUAACAGAUGGAAACAUCUGCUAAUACCGCAUAAGACCACGGCCUCGCAUGGGGAAGUGGUAAAAGGAGCAAUCCGGUUUGGGGUGAGUUCGCGUCUGAUUAGCUUGUUGGCGGGGUAACGGCCCACCAAGGCGACGAUCAGUAGCCGACCUGAGAGGGUGAUCGGCCACACUGGAACUGAGAUACGGUCCAGACUCCUACGGGAGGCAGCAGUGGGGAAUAUUGGGCAAUGGGCGAAAGCCUGACCCAGCAACGCCGCGUGAAGGAAGAAGGUUUUCGGAUUGUAAACUUCUGUCCUCAGGGAAGAAGGAAGUGACGGUACCUGAGGAGGAAGCCCCGGCUAACUACGUGCCAGCAGCCGCGGUAAUACGUAGGGGGCGAGCGUUGUCCGGAAUGACUGGGCGUAAAGGGCGCGUAGACGGCUGUCUAAGUCUGGAGUGAAAGUCCUGCUUUCAAGGUGGGAAUUGCUUUGGAGACUGGAUGGCUUGAGUGCGGAAGAGGUAAGUGGAAUUCCCAGUGUAGCGGUGAAAUGCGUAAAGAUUGGG
rnacentral:rRNA from 1 species